GACGAACGCUGGCGGCGUGCCUAAUACAUGCAAGUAGAACGCACAGUUUAUACCGUAGCUUGCUACACCAUAGACUGUGAGUUGCGAACGGGUGAGUAACGCGUAGGUAACCUGCCUGGUAGCGGGGGAUAACUAUUGGAAACGAUAGCUAAUACCGCGUAAUAUUAAUUAUUGCAUGAUAAUUAAUUGAAAGGUGCAAUUGCACCACUACCAGAUGGACCUGCGUUGUAUUAGCUAGUAGGUGAGGUAACGGCUCACCUAGGCGACGAUACAUAGCCGACCUGAGAGGGUGAUCGGCCACACUGGGACUGAGACACGGCCCAGACUCCUACGGGAGGCAGCAGUAGGGAAUCUUCGGCAAUGGACGAAAGUCUGACCGAGCAACGCCGCGUGAGUGAAGAAGGUUUUCGGAUCGUAAAGCUCUGUUGUAAGAGAAGAACGGGUGUGAGAGUGGAAAGUUCACACUGUGACGGUAUCUUACCAGAAAGGGACGGCUAACUACGUG
rnacentral:rRNA from 1 species